GAGAGUCUGGGGGCGAGGGGACCGCCCGAGUCGGGUUAGGGCGGCGGUCACGCAGCUCGGUGCGCUUGCCAGAGCUCGCAGAACGGAGCACUGAAAAGGGGAAACUCACGCCUCAGAAAAGCCUGACUAAACGUCACGUCUGUAAGAUAAAUAAGUAAACACACGGCUCUAGAAGAAGAAAGACCUGCCCAACACACGGCGACGCCCAAGCGAGCCCGGCCACCUCCGCACCCGCAGCCCCAGAGGUCAGGCGCCAGCCCGGGCUGUGGCCGCGGCACUGCAGUGGCGCCCAGGCCGGGGCAGGGACACCUGCCCGUGGGAGGAGGACUGGCCCCUCUCUCGACCGCCUCAUCCAGCCCUGCCCCGCAUCCAGCGCUGCCGGAAGCCAGCACGCCGCCCCGGAACAGCCGUCCCGCUCGGCUGCUUGGGCCCCCACCUCGCCAGCCUCGUGUGAGGUCCCGCUGGGAUUAUUCUCAUCACGGGGAAGGGAGGUGGCGCCGAGCCUGCAGGGCUGCUGGGAGCCUCCAGCGAGUGGACACAGGACACAGCUGCCCCUGUGCCAGAGCGCUAACGUGCCGCCCUGCCUGGCAUCGUCGCCACUGAGCAAGGCGGGGAGCAAACAAACGACACAGCCUCACUGCAGCCGGAACCCAGCACCACGGUCACUCGACUCCCAGGCCCAGCAGGAUCUCACGAGAACCCGACGUUACCUGGCCCCUGGGACAUGGAGGUGGCAGCAGCCUCAGUCACCACUCAGCUGUCACGGGCUGACCUGAGGCCCCCGAAAGUUCGCAUGUUGAGGUCCUGACCCCCAGUGCCUCAAUAUGUAACUACUCGUGGAGACAGAGACUUUAAAGUGGUGAUGAAGGUAAACCGAUUAGGACGGACACACAGAGAAGGACAGCCACGUGAGGACACAGGGACAACGGCUGUCCACAAGCCAAGGAGAGAGGCCUCAGAAGAAACCAGCCCUGCCGACGCCUUGAGCUCAAACUUCUGUGCUCCAGAACUGAGACAAUAAUUUCUGUUGUCUGGGUCACCCAUUCUGCCUUGACCUUCAGACAACAAUGCGUUCACUGCACUGCAACGCAUCUAACCGCAAGGCAUCUUUGCUCUUUCAGCCCUUCAAAAUAGGAAGGCCCGGCCCGUGCCCUCCCUUCCCCGAGCAUCCGCAGGGGUUGGACACCAUGCAAGGACCUUCCCAGUCUUCUUGUUCUGCCUCCAUCCCUCCUUCGGAUUUCUGCAGGCUACUCAGAACGGCAGGGAUCCUUCCACGCUGCAUGAGCGUAUUAGGCAGCUACUGCUGCGUAUCUAACCACCCCAAAGCUCAUGGCAAUAACAAUACCUUAUUUUUCUUUUUCCCCAAUCUCAGGGCAGGUCUGCUUCGGGCUGUAGGUUGGGUGGGCUGGGCUCCUGGCUGCAGGGGCGUCCUGGCUGCUGCCUGUCUCUCACCUGCCUUACAACAGGGCUUUCCUGGGGUGUGCUUUCUCAUGGCGGCCACAGGACACUGGCAGGCCAGAGCACGUGGUGCAAGCUCAUCUCUGCUCCUGCCGUGUCUGCUCACAUUCCUCUGGCCAAAGCGAGUCCCAUGAUUGAGCCCAAAAUCUGUGGGGCGGGAAGGAAACAGCUGCCCGAUAAUCCAGCACAGCGCGAGGAAGGUGAGACCCCCCAGAAGUCCCCUCAGAGCUGGACAGCAUCGGGGAGCCCAGUGCCCAGAGAUCUGGGGCGGAACCUGGGGCAGCAGAACACCAGAGAUAAAAAGGAAAAUAAACAGAGCACAGAACUCAGAUGCGGAGACAGACAGAGCUUGGCCCAGCGUGGCCGCCCGCCAGCUGUGUCAGCUGAGGCACCUUCCUUAAUCUCUCUGAGCCCAUUUUCUCAUCCAUGAGGGAAGGAAUAAUGAUUCUAACCUCACAGGCGGUGGCAUGAGGACUGAAUGGAAGGGUUUGAGGAGUGUGGCUCUGUGCACAGGAUUUUGAAUGAGGCCCUGCCUUAGCCUUCCUCUCUGUACCUCAGUUUCCCCGUCUGUGAAAUGGGAGUAACAACAAUACCUCAUUACUGGAGCAGGGGUGGUAGGAGAAACGCUGAGUGCAGACCACGGAAACACCGAGCCUCCAGAGCAGAGCGCUGGCGCUGGUGUUCCCUCAGGGGACGUGUCCCCGCGGGCUCUGGGACGCAGAAAGUGAAUUCUCCCGGGGCCUGCGGGCCCCAGGGUGGCCUGGGGAAGGGCCGCUGGCCUGGUGUGGCAGGGCUGGGCUCUGUCUGAGGAGCGCUGGGUCUUCCUGCCUCUUCCUUCUCUCAGGAUG